rnacentral:pre_miRNA from 1 species
UAUGUACUCCCUCCGUUCGGAAUUACUUGUCUCGGAAAUGGAUGUACCUAGAACUAAAAUACAUCUAGAUACAUCCAUUUCUACGACAAGUAAUUCCGAACGGAGGGAGUAGUAA